AUUGAACGCUGGCGGCAGGCCUAACACAUGCAAGUCGAGCGAGCGGCGGACGGGUGAGUAAUGUCUGGGAAACUGCCUGAUGGAGGGGGAUAACUACUGGAAACGGUAGCUAAUACCGCAUACUAUCGGAUGUGCCCAGAUGGGAUUAGCUAGUAGGUGGGGUAAUGGCUCACCUAGGCGACGAUCCCUAGCUGGUCUGAGAGGAUGACCAGCCACACUGGAACUGAGACACGGUCCAGACUCCUACGGGAGGCAGCAGUGGGGAAUAUUGCACAAUGGGCGCAAGCCUGAUGCAGCCAUGCCGCGUGUAUGAAGAAGGCCUUCGGGUUGUAAAGUACUUUCAGCGAGGAGGCGUUACUCGCAGAAGAAGCACCGGCUAACUCCGUGCCAGCAGCCGCGGUAAUAC
rnacentral:rRNA from 1 species